rnacentral:lncRNA from 1 species
GGUGCGUGAAGGUGGAGGGUGAGAAGGCUAGCACUCCUUGCGCUGGCCUCCGUCACGUUUCUAUCGGCUGUGGGGAAUUGGGAAGAAGAGCUUUGAGCCACUCGCUCUGCCAGGUAAUGUGGCUACGACACGGCCCGCUGUAGCGCCGGGCCUGAGUCUUAAAUCUGAGGUUAAUUCUGAACGAUGCUCCGGCUUGCGGCCCCCUUCGCCUGGCCCCGGCCGAACCACAGAGCCCUAUUCAGGCUUUGAGGGACUGAAGAGCUCAAGCGGCGCCCUUUGCCAAGUCCAUGCAUACCACCGCUUCCGCCAGACACUCGGGUCUCUGAGGCACCUACUCUGAGAGCUCCAAAGAGAGGGUGAGGCCAGUUCUCCCCUUUCCCAAGAAGAGUCUGAGACUGAAACCUUGAUGCUGAGAACACCUUUCCCCUUUCUGAUGCAAGCAGCUUGCAGAUUGUUAAUGCCGGAGCCUGAGGCAAGAAUGUCACAGACCUUUCCCAGGUGUUUGUUAAGGUUCUCCCAACAGGACAAUAAACUCAUCUGGAAGGCAGAGGGCCUGCCCAUUCAUAAACCUGUUGAUGUGGUCCCCAGAGUACCAGUUUAAGAUGAUAAGACCAACACUGUUGAUUCUGGGGCCAGAACUGGGACAAGUCCUUGAUCCGUCUACACUAGCUGUAUACACCAUCUACCUCCUGAGAGGAUUCAUUUUUCUUCCUAUUGCAACUCACUCUCGCAGAUGGAGCAGUCAUUUUGAGAGCAUGAAGAUGAAGAUACGUGAAAAAGCCAGAAGGACUCUGGUCUCUCAAGUGUUAAAAAGGAGGAGUUGAGAAGAACUGGACCAAACAGCAGGUUGAGAGUACCCACAUCUGCCAAAGGGGCAGGGGGCUCAGAUGAAAUGAACAAAGUCAUGGCCCUCACGGGGUUCAGCUUCAUUGGAAAGACAGACCAGGAACCAACUCAUGACCACGGGGAGAGCACCAUGAGGGUAUGGACAUGCUGCAUGGACCCUAAAGGAGCAUGUUCUGAAAUUGACUUGAGCUGAGCUGAGCCGGGGCGAAGGGGAGGCAGCCAAGGCAGACAUCUGAGAGGAGGUGCUGGCCCUGCAGCCACCUUUUAAAACACGGUGUAAAACAUGGCUGUGUGUGCGGUGUGUGGAAGCAGGAAAGCGGGUGAGGUCAUGUCCGGGGCCGGAGCACAGUGUGCCUCAAGAGAGAGACCAGACAUCCCGUAAGAGGCAGAGAAGGCCCAUCGCUUUAAAAGCCUCAAGCGCAAUGCCAAGGAAUUCUAUCUUUAUUCUAAAACAAAUGGGCAGUCAUUAAAGGAUACUAAGCAGAAAAAUGCAUUGACUAGACAUGCAUGUUGGAAAAUGUACUUUGAUCAAAUUUGGUGUUGUUUAUGGUCAUUUCUAUAAAGUAUUUGGCAUUGGAAACUUAGUCAGGAACUUCACCCCCUAAUAGGACCAUUCUAAUUUCUUUAUAUUUCCUCUGAAAUUGACACCCGAAAUAAAGCUGACUUCCUAU